rnacentral:rRNA from 1 species
GACGAACGCUGGCGGCGUGCUUAACACAUGCAAGUCGAACGGAAAGGCCUGCUUUCCCUUGUGGAUUGCGGGUACUCGAGUGGCGAACGGGUGAGUAACACGUGAGUGAUCUGCCCCCAACUUGGGUAUAAGCCUGGGAAACUGGGUCUAAUUCCCGAUAGGACUGCAGGGUGGUGCCUGUGGUUGAAAACGAUUUUCUAGUGGUUGGGGAUGAGCUCGCGGCCUAUCAGCUUGUUGGUGGGGUAAUGGCCUACCAAGGCGGCGACGGGUAGCCGGCCUGAGAGGGUGGACGGCCACAUUGGGACUGAGAUACGGCCCAGACUCCUACGGGAGGCAGCAGUGGGGAAGAUUGCACAAUGGGCGGAAGCCUGAUGCAGCGACGCCGCGUGGGGGAUGACGGCCUUCGGGUUGUAAACUCCUUUCGACCGCGAGGAAGCCACCUGGUUGGAAGGGUGGUGACGGUAGUGGUAGAAGAAGCACCGGCUAACUACGUG